rnacentral:rRNA from 1 species
AAUCAACGCUGGCGGCGUGCCUCAGACAUGCAAGUCGAACGAUUAAAGCUCUCUUCGGAGAGUGCAUAGAGUGGCGCACGGGUGAGUAACACGUAAGUAAUCUACCUUCGAGUGGGGAAUAACGUCCGGAAGCGGACGCUAAUACCGCAUAAUGCAGCGGCAUCGCAAGAUGACAGUUGUUAAAGGAGCAAUUCGCUUGAAGAGGAGCUUGCGGCAGAUUAGCUAGUUGGUAAGGUAAUGGCUUACCAAGGCUACGAUCUGUAACCGGUCUAAGAGGACGGUCGGUCACACUGACACUGAAUAACGGGUCAGACUCCUACGGGAGGCAGCAGUAAGGAAUAUU